GCUAAUUUUAUGUUUUUAUUUUUAAAGACACGGUCUUGCUGUGCUGUCCAGGCUGGUCUCAAACUCCUAGCCUAAAGCAAUCCUCUCACCUAAGGCUCCCAAGUAGUUGGGAUUAUAGUCGUUAGCAACCGAACCUGGCCCAAAGUCCCUUUUAAAUUGGACUUUAUAAUAUUUUAAGAAAAUUAUGGAGUACAGUCACAUUGAGAGUUUGAUCUGAAUAGAGUCUUUAUCACCAAAUGAUAAACCUUUCUGAAAGAAUGACAGUGCUAUUUGACAUUUGGUUAAAUGUCAGGCCUUUGAUUAUGUCUAAAAACUGAAUACAUAAAGUAUAGUGUUUGCCAAUAUUAUUUAUAAAGCAAAGCAUCUUUUUUUUUGUCCUCUUUCCAUUAAUUUUUGUGAAAAGGUUAUGUAUUUUGUUUGGGGAAAACUUUUAUUCUGGUUUUCUGCUUAUGAUUUUCUGUGCUGUUUUGCUAAUCUCUUUACUUCAGUACCUAUUGUAUUAGUGUGCUUAGUACAAUAAUACAUAUUUUAAAAAAUCACAAUAGAACUGAUUACCCCUAAAUUUGAGGGGUUUUUUGUUUGUUUGUUUGCUUAUCAUAAGAUAACAAAAAAUGUUUUCAACAGAAAUUGGGUAUCUUAACUCUCAAGCCUAAUUUUCUUUUGUCUGUUGAGGGCUUAAUCUAUUUAACCACAGAGAGCUUGUCAUUUAAAUUAUAGCACAUGGCUCUUUUUUUGAGGUAGAAUGUGUAGAAUCCUUUGCUGUUUCAAAAUUUCAUCUUGAAGAAUUGACAUACAAGUUGUGACGAAGAAAUGCUUUUAAUAGUUUAUUGUAGGGAGAUGUAAAAGUUUUCUCUCACAAAAUUGUCAUGUUAAGGAUAGGAUUUCAAGACGGAAAGCAUCCUGGAGAAAAGAUGGAAGCUUUGAGGUUUAUCUCUUUGUAACAGUGCCUUUGUGUUUUUACUUUGAAAUUUCUUUGUGCAGUGAAAUAUGCUACCUUUGUAUUUGUGCUUUGGUAAGAUUCUGGACUAUUUGCAAUUGUCUGUGAAAGUCCAAAGAGAAUGAGAAUAAAUUUUGUGAAAUUAUCUCAUUCCCAGUCUGGCACUCCAUGUGCCCUUGUGUGGCUGCUGAUUCUGCGGGCAGAUUGAAGUGCUGAACCAACUUCUGCUCUAACUGCUAAAAUUGCCAGCCAUAAUUCCAAGCUUUUAAAUCUUGUUGUUCACAUCAAUGAUGUCAAAUUUUGAGCAAACAUAGCUCUGUCUUUAAAUCCCAGUGGAAUUUGCAAUUCCCUGGAUUGAAAGGCAAGAGUUCCUCCUUUUUGCCUUUGAAAAACUUGAGUGGCUGUGCAGGGAAAGUCAGCAGAAUAAAUCUGCAGCCUUGCCGUGUCCUUUGAGUCAUUGUAGAAAGCUGAGUGCUCUGUUCGGCAUUCAGCAGAUUGGCUGUCAGAGUUGCAGCGCUGCCUAUCAAAGACAUGGUCUCUCAAAGAGCCAUUUAUGUUAUUCCAGAGAGAACCAUCCUGUCGCAAAAGGAACACCUCCUUUCCCCUCCCAAGGGUCAGAUCUUCUUUUGAUACUGGGCAAUUAUCCCUUGCUUUUCCUGAAAAAUAGCUCAAUCCACUAUAAAGAUUGGCACCAGCACAGGUUGCUGACUUGGUUACAGUGACAAGCUCUGAUUCCUUAGCCACAGGGAGAGGCAUCAGGGUGAUACUCGAAAGUAUGCCAGAGGCUUAAUGGGGGUGAUUUUUCUGCUGAGAAAUUCAGUGUCCCUUAUAAGUGUCUUGGCUUCUGUUCUCUUUCUCUGAGGGAAAUAAAUUUAUUUUAGUUGUUUGCACACCAGUCACUAUAAAAUGCCACUGUGUGGUUGUCUUUCCAUCCUUCACUUCCUCAAGCUUCUUUCCUGUCUUUAGUUACUGUCCUUUAGUUACUGUUUGAGAUCAAGCCCUACAGUCUUAAUUUUUUACAUUUUUACAUCCUUUUUAUACAGCUUAUCUUGGCUCUUAUUAGUCUUUGUACCUGGUGGGGAUUAUUAAUCAGUGUUUCCUCUAUUAAAAAUAAUUAAUAGACUAUUUUUUAGAACAGUGGUAAGUGUACAGAAAAAAUUGAGUGGAGAGUACAGAGAGUUCCCAUAUACCUCCUCACUCCACCCCUACCCACGGUUUCCUUUAUUGUUACAUCUUGCAUCAGUGUGCUAUAUUUUUUACAGUUGUUGAGCCAACAUUGAUACAUUAUUAUUAGCUAAAGGCCAUAGUUGUCAUUAGUGUUCACUGCCUAUACAUUCUGUGGGGUUUCACAAGUGUAUCUACUAUAUGUGUAUCACAUACAUAUAUACCAUAUAUGUAUCACAUAUGUAUCUACUAUAAUAAUACCAUAGACCGGGAGUGGAAUAGUCUCACUGCCAUAAAAAUCUUUUGUGCUCCACCUAUUCAUCCCACCCUCCUGAACCCCUGGUAACCACUGAUCUUUUUACUGUCUCUGUAGUUUCACUUUUUCUAGAAUGUCAUGUAGUAGGAAUCAUAUAGCCCUCUAAUUUUUUAAAAUUGUGAGUAGAUAAGCAUGUAACUAGAAAUUGUUAGGAAAAAAAAGGGAGAGAAAAUUAGAUGUGGGAGGUUCCACAGCUCCAAGUUCUACCUAAAACUCCAAGCAUUUAUCCAGGGAGAUGUAGGUGGCCAGCCUUUCCUCUUCUCUGCUGGGGGUCUGUCUGAUGUUAUAGGAAUUAGCUUGCCUAGUGACAUUUUAUUGAUUCUAGGUGUUAGGAGCAAGGACAAGAUGAACACUGAAUGGGCUGUAUCUGGGGAAUCAAGGUAUUUGGAUUGAGCAAAAGGAAGUAGAGCAUUUGAUUCUUUUUCCUUUGAUUAGGUUGAGUACAAUAACAUCUCCUUCUCUCCCUUCUUCCCAUGGGCAGCUUUAUAUGUGAUUGAAGAAGAUCAGUGCAAAGAUUCCCCAUCCAGAAAUAAACUUUUGUACUUCUACACUAAUUAAAGAUUCAUGUAAAUUAUGAAGUUUUUGGAAAACUAUGGAGAACUCUGUGGGGGCUAUCAUUCACACUUCAGUAUGAAUUGGUUUAAUGACAACUGUGAUAUUGCUACCUAAAGAAAUGGAUGUUUUUAUUUGGGGCUAGGGGAUCACAGAUGUAGACUGGCAUAGGUAGAAUGGUCCCUUAGCAAAGGAGAUAUUGAAGUUUAUGAAGAUGUAAAAGAUACACAGAUUUACUUUUGCAUUUUAUUUUGGGCUAUCUCAGCUUCUUUUACUAGAAGUUCAUGCCUGUAAUCCCAGCACCUUGAGAGGCCAAAGCAGGAGGACUGCUUGAAGCCAGGGGUUCAAGAUGAACCUGGGUAACAAAGCGAGACCCUGACACUACCAAAAAAUAAAAAUAAAAAAUGAAGCUACUUGAGAAGUAUAAAUGUUAAGAAUAGCCCAGAUAAACACUGGAACCAAUUUAAUUUGGAAAGAAAGAACCAUUUCCUCCUUUACCCACUCUGGAAAAUUUCAGUUGAUAAAAUAUAGGGGAAGGAGAAGUACUGAUUUCUUUAGUUCUAGGACUCAUGCUUCCUGUCUGCUUAGAACUCUAGCUCCUUGGUAUGGAGUAGUAUCUUUUUUUUCGUAGAGAUAAUAUCUCUUUACCCUCUAUAUUUGACUAAAUAUAAGAAUAUGCUAGUCUUGGAUCAGUUACUUUCUUAACUUGUCAGACUGAACUAACUCUGUGGUAAAGUGAACAUUAGCCUAGAGAAGGUUCUUAGCAUGAUGGUCAGGGUUAACAUCAGUUAGUGCAUAUUAACAGGUAAUGUAUGCAUACAUACAUACACAAUUUAGAGGAAAUAUAUUUACAUUAGGUAUGGCAAAAUGAUCUUUCCAUCCAGAAAGCAUACAGGGAAGGGAGAGAAUAAAAUACAGUGAAAAUUAUUUGAUUUUAUUGAUACAACAGCAGCAAUAAUUAUAGCUCACUGAGCUUAUGUCAUGUACUAUGCCAAAGUACUUUACAGGGAUGUUUUAUUUAAUCCUAGCAACCUCUGAGGGAGAAUUACCAAGGAGAAAACUAAGGCUCAGAGAACUAACUUGUACAGGGUUACUCAGUAUUUUGUGAUGGAGUUGUAACACGAACCCAGAUGGUUAGACUCCAGACCAGCACUCUUAACUACUCUGUUAAAUUCUUCCUUAUUAUUUUUCAGUAUGCACAUCUAGCCUAGAAAAAAAUGAAUAAGUAAUUUUUUUGGAUAAUGGUCCAAAUCAGUCAACUAAGUAUUUGAUAUAGUUUGUUACUGAUCUAUAUAUCUAGCUGUCAUACCAAAGAGAGCUAAGCUAAAUCUGUAGCUGAGCUGUGCCUGUGGGGGGGAAAAAUGUGUAUAUAUAUAUAUAUAUAUAUAUAUAUAAAUUCUUAGGAAAAGGAAGAAAUCUUUCUGCAGCUGCCUCAGCCUUAAU